UGGGGAAUAUUGGACAAUGGGCGAAAGCCUGAUCCAGCCAUGCCGCGUGAGUGAUGAAGGCCCUAGGGUUGUAAAGCUCUUUUGUGCGGGAAGAUAAUGACGGUACCGCAAGAAUAAGCCCCGGCUAACUUCGUGCCAGCAGCCGCGGUAAUACGAAGGGGGCUAGCGUUGCUCGGAAUCACUGGGCGUAAAGGGUGCGUAGGCGGGUUUCUAAGUCAGAGGUGAAAACCUGGAGCUCAACUCCAGAACUGCCUUUGAUACUGGAAGUCUUGAGUUCGGGAGAGGUGGGUGGAACUGCGAGUGUAGAGGUGAAAUUCGUAGAUAUUCGCAAGAACACCAGUGGCGAAGGCGGCUCACUGGCCCGAUACUGACGCUGAGGCACGAAAGCGUGGGGAGCAAACA
rnacentral:rRNA from 1 species